UUCGAGGGGGGCGAGCGUUGUUCGGAAUUAUUGGGCGUAAAGGGGGCGUAGGCGGUUCUUCGAGUCCUGUGUGAAAUCUUCGGGCUCAACUCGAAGUCUGCACGGGAAACUGCGGGGCUUGAGUGUGGGAGAGGAGAGUGGAAUUCCUGGUGUAGCGGUGAAAUGCGCAGAUAUCAGGAAGAACACCCGUGGCGAAAGCGGCUCUCUGGAACGGUACUGACGCUGAGACGCGAAAGCGUGGGGAGCGAACAGG
rnacentral:rRNA from 1 species